rnacentral:rRNA from 1 species
AUUGAACGCUGGCGGCAGGCUUAACACAUGCAAGUCGAGCGGAGAUGAGGUGCUUGCACCUUAUCUUAGCGGCGGACGGGUGAGUAAUGCUUAGGAAUCUGCCUAUUAGUGGGGGACAACAUUCCGAAAGGAAUGCUAACACCGCAUACGUCCUACGGGAGAAAGCAGGGGAUCUUCGGACCUUGCGCUAAUAGAUGAGCCUAGGUCGGAUUAGCUAGUUGGUGGGGUAAAGGCCUACCAAGGCGACGAUCUGUAGCGGGUCUGAGAGGAUGGCCCGCCACACUGGGACUGAGACACGGCCCAGACUCCUACGGGAGGCAGCAGUGGGGAAUAUUGGACAAUGGGCGGAAGCCUGAUCCAGCCAUGCCGCGUGUGUGAAGAAGGCCUUUUGGUUGUAAAGCACUUUAAGCGAGGAGGAGGCUACCUAGAUUAAUACUCUGGGAUAGUGGACGUUACUCGCAGAAUAAGCACCGGCUAACUCUGUGCCAGCCGCCGCAGUAACAC